rnacentral:rRNA from 1 species
GACGAACGCUGGCGGCGUGCCUAAUACAUGCAAGUUGAGCGCUGAAGGUUGGUACUUGUACCAACUGGAUGAGCAGCGAACGGGUGAGUAACGCGUGGGGAAUCUGCCUUUGAGCGGGGGACAACAUUUGGAAACGAAUGCUAAUACCGCAUAAAAACUUUAAACACAAGUUUUAAGUUUGAAAGAUGCAAUUGCAUCACUCAAAGAUGAUCCCGCGUUGUAUUAGCUAGUUGGUGAGGUAAAGGCUCACCAAGGCGAUGAUACAUAGCCGACCUGAGAGGGUGAUCGGCCAAAAUGGGACUGAGACACGGCCCAAACGCCUACGGGAGGCAGCAGUAGGGAAUCUUCGGCAAUGGACGAAAGUCUGACCGAGCAACGCCGCGUGAGUGAAGAAGGGUUUCGGAUCGUAAAACUCUGUUGGUAGAGAAGAACGUUGGUGAGAGUGGAAAGCUCAUCAAGUGACGGUAACUACCCAGAAAGGGACGGCUAACUACGUG